AACGAACGCUGGCGGCAUGCCUAACACAUGCAAGUCGAACGAGACCUUCGGGUCUAGUGGCGCACGGGUGCGUAACGCGUGGGUACCUGCCCUUAGGUUCGGAAUAACUCCCCGAAAGGGGUGCUAAUACCGGAUAAUGUCUUCGGACCAAAGAUUUAUCGCCUUUGGAUGGGCCCGCGUUGGAUUAGCUAGUUGGUAGGGUAAAAGCCUACCAAGGCGACGAUCCAUAGCUGGUCUGAGAGGAUGAUCAGCCACACUGGGACUGAGACACGGCCCAGACUCCUACGGGAGGCAGCAGUGGGGAAUAUUGGACAAUGGGCGAAAGCCUGAUCCAGCAAUGCCGCGUGAGUGAUGAAGGCCUUAGGGUUGUAAAGCUCUUUUACCCGGGAUGAUAAUGACAGUACCGGGAGAAUUAGCUCCGGCUAACUCCGUG
rnacentral:rRNA from 1 species